rfam:Ictidomys tridecemlineatus contig000693, whole genome shotgun sequence.
GGGGAUAUAGCUCAGUUGGUAGAGUGCUUGCCUCACAUGAGCAAGGCCCUGGGUUCAAUCCCCAGCAUCACAA